rnacentral:rRNA from 1 species
AAACUAAUAUUACUUUCCAGUAAUAUUACUUUGUUACGACUUGUCUCAUAAAAUAUGAGAAUGACGGGCGAUAUGUACAUAUUUUAAAAUUAAAAUCAAUUUAUAAUAUAAAUAUAAAUUUACUUUUAAAUUCUUUUUAUUUAUUUAUUAAAUAAAUAAAUUUAUUUUAAUAUUAUUGUAAUUCAUUACAUUCUUAAAUAUAAAUUAUACUUUGACUUGAAUUAUUUUUUAAAAAAAUUUUAAUUUUAAUUUUAAAAUUAUUUUUAAACAGAAGUAUAUAAAUAUAUAAAAUUUAAGUAAUUUUUAUCGUGUAUUAUCAAUUAAUGAAUAAAUUCCUCUAAAUAAAUUAAAAUACCGUCAAAUUUUUUAAGUUUAGUGAUUUAAUCAUUUAAUAUUUAAAUUUAAUUUUUUUAAUUUU